rnacentral:rRNA from 1 species
CGAAUGCUGACAUAAGUAACGAUAAAGCGGGUGAAAAGCCCGCUCGCCGGAAGACCAAGGGUUCCUGUCCAACGUUAAUCGGGGCAGGGUGAGUCGACCCCUAAGGCGAGGCCGAAAGGCGUAGUCGAUGGGAAACAGGUUAAUAUUCCUGUACUUGGUGUUACUGCGAAGGGGGGACGGAGAAGGCUAUGUUGGCCGGGCGACGGUUGUCCCGGUUUAAGCGUGUAGGCUGGUUUUCCAGGCAAAUCCGGAGAAUCAAGGCUGAGGCGUGAUGACGAGGCACUACGGUGCUGAAGCAACAAAUGCCCUGCUUCCAGGAAAAGCCUCUAAGCAUCAGGUAACAUCAAAUCGUACCCCAAACCGACACAGGUGGUCAGGUAGAGAAUACCAAGGCGCUUGAGAGAACUCGGGUGAAGGAACUAGGCAAAAUGGUGCCGUAACUUCGGGAGAAGGCAC